AGAAAACAAGAACAAAGAAAGAGGAGGAAGUUGGGGCAGGGGGUUAAAGCAUACUCACCUAUAGUUUUCUAAUUAUGUGAAUUUCAUGUGUAACACAACCAUCUCACAGCCCAAACUAUAACUAAAUGAAAAAUUAAAAGGAAUUCCACUCUUGAUUUAUAUUUUUCAGAAAAUAUUUAUCAGUGCUAUUUACCAUUAUUUUUAGUAUUUUUAGAUACAUGGGUCACUGCAUGUCUCUGCCCACUUCGAAGUUAGGUGUGGCCAUGUUGUUUGUUUUGACCAGGAACUUAUAGCUCAAGGGGACUGUGUCACUUCUGGGCAGACAUUUGAAGAGCCAGUGUGUGAUUCGUCAUAUGCUUUUUCCUUCUGCCACAGUAACCGGAAACAUUAGAAACGGUGCAGGCUCCGUCACUGGGCCUUAGAGUGGAGGUGACACAGAGCACAGCCCCCUCUUGAUCUGCAAUGGGACCAUAGCCAGACUGAGAAAUACAUUGUUUUUCUGUCAAGCUCAGCUGCCAAAAACUGAUUAAACCAAUGCCUUUCAAGUAAAAUCUUUAUGCUCCUUAACUCUCCUCUCCACCUCUGCUUCAACCCUAAGGAUGUCAGAGUGUUCUACUGAGUAAUGGAGGAGAAAUAGGACAAGGGGAAGGGAGGAAAUAUUGAUAAUGGGAGCCAUAUUCUUUUCUCCACCAUAUGCUUGUAAGUCACAUAAUUUAGAUAUUAGGCGAGUGAAUGAAACUUUUACAUUCGACUUUUCUAGACUUAAAAUUUUAUACUAAAUUUUUAUUUAUGUUACUUAAUAUUGACAUGAGAAAUAUAUUCCCAUGAUUAAAAAUUCAAAAGAUCAAAUCAAUGUAUACAAUGAAAAGUCUCCCUCAGACCCCCAACCCUAUUAGCCCAGAUCCUAACAUCCACUUAUUUUAAAAAAAAAUCACAGUCAUGUCUAAUUUCAGAGAUUUGUAGAAGACUGUACAAGAAAUACAAAUAUAUCACUUUCUUUUCUCACCAUACUUAUUCAAUACAUUGUACAUAUGACUGUAUAGGGUUUAAUAGGAAGGGAAGGAAAAAGGAUGAAAGCUGGUGUCUCCUAACCCUGCAAGUAAGAGAGAAGUGAAAAGAGGUGGAAGGAAAAGGUCAUGUCAAAGAGAAGACGGUAUUGAAUAGUGUGUAGAAGGAAGACAGAGGUGUCUUACCAGGAAUUUGAGGAAAGGAAAAACCAUGGGCAGUAUCUCUUAGGAAUCAAAGGGCAGUCCAAGAAGCCAUCAGCUAUCCUUAGAGAUCUGAAUGCCAUUCUAAGGAGCUUGGAUACUUUGUAUUGUUGGAGACAGGCUGCAGGAAGCAC
rnacentral:lncRNA from 10 species